AUGGCGUCCAGCGCGCUCCUCCUCUGCUCCCUCGUCGCCCUCGCCCUCGCGGCCGGCUCCGACGCCAGGGACCACGUCGUCGGCGGCGGCAAGGACGGCGCGUGGAGGGUGCCGCCCCCGGCGCAGCCCGACGCGCUCAACGACUGGGCCGGGAAGGCCCGCUUCCACGUCGGUGACAACCUCGUGUUCAAGUUCGACGCGGCGACGGACUCGGUGCUGGAGGUGACGCGGGCGGACUACGACCGGUGCAACACGGCCAGCCCCAUCGCCACCUACAAGGCCAGCGGCGCGGUCGUGCCGCUGCCGCCCAAGGGCGCCCGCUUCCGCUACUUCAUCAGCGGCGCCCCCGGGAACUGCCAGAAGGGCGAGCGCGUCAUCGUCCUCGUCAUGUCGGAGAAGCACGGCAGCCGGGUCCCGCCUGCCGCGCCGGCCCCCGCGCACUCCCCCUCCUCCUCCGCGGGGCUCGUGGAGGCGCCCGCCCACGCGCCCGCGCCCGCGCCGGCCACUGGCGCCGCGUGGAGGACGGCGUCCGGCAGCGGCUCCGUGGUCCUCGGCGCUCUCCUCGGAGCGCUGCUCGUCGUUGGGUUCUGA
rnacentral:rRNA from 1 species